GAUCCUGGCUCAGAUCGAACGCUGGCGGCGUGGCUAAAACAUGCAAGUCGUACGCGAAAGUUUUCUUCGGAGAACGAGUAGAGUGGCGGCAGGGCGAGUAAUGCAUGGGUAACGUGCCUUGAGCUUAGGGAUAGCUGUGGGAAACUGCAGGUAAUACCCAAUAAGACCACAGUACCUUAUGGUACAGCGGUCAAAGGUGGGGAUCUCUUCGGAGACCUUCUGGCUCGAGAGCGGCCCAUGUCCUAUCAGCUUGUUGGUGAGGUAAUGGCUCACCAAGGCUUCGACGGGUACCGGGACUGAGAGGUUGACCCGGCGCAUUGGGACUGAGACACGGCCCAGACUCCUACGGGAGGCAGCAGUGGGGAAUAUUGGACAAUGGGGGCAACCCUGAUCCAGCAAUGCCGCGUGUGUGAAGAAGGCCUGCGGGUUGUAAAGCACUUUCAGUGGGGAAGAUGGGCUGCGUGUAACGAGUCUCGGCGUUGAGGAAUCCCAGAGGAAGCCACGGCUAACUUCGUGCCAGCAGCCGCGGUAAUACGAAGGUGGCAAGCGUUGUUCGGAAUCAUUGGGCUUAAAGCGUAUGUAGGCGGUCUGUCAAGCGUCUUGUGAAAUCCCUCGGCUCAACCGAGGAAUUGCUCGGCGAACUGGCAGACUUGAGGCAAGUAGGGGUGUGUGGAACUCUUGGUGGAGCGGUGGAAUGCGUAGAUAUCAAGAGGAACGCCGGUGGCGAAGGCGACACACUGGGCUUGUCCUGACGCUGAGAUACGAAAGCUAGGGUAGCGAACGGGAUUAGAUACCCCGGUAGUCCUAGCCCUAAACGAUGUCAACUAGGUCGGAGGUUCUCUGACGGAGUUCCGGCCGAAGCAAAAGUGUUAAGUUGACCGCCUGGGGAGUACGGUCGCAAGGCUAAAACUCAAAGGAAUUGACGGGGGCUCACACAAGCGGUGGAGCAUGUUGCUUAAUUCGAUUCAACGCGAAGAACCUUAUCCUGGGCUUGACAUACUUGGAUGCCUCCUGUGAAAGCAGGUCGGUUGCUCUUCGGAGUGAAACUUGUACAGGUGCUGCAUGGCUGUCGUCAGCUCGUGUCGUGAGAUGUUGGGUUAAGUCCCGUAACGAGCGAAACCCUUGUCGUUAGUUGCCAGCGGGUCAUGCCGGGGACUCUAGCGAGACUGCCGGUGUUAAACCGGAGGAAGGUGGGGAUGACGUCAAGUCCUCAUGGCCUUUUAUGCCCAGGGCCGCAAACGUGCUACAAUGGCUGGUACAAACCGACGCAAGACCGCGAGGUGGAGCAAAUCGGAAAAAGCCCGCCCCAGUUCGGAUUGUAGUCUGCAACUCGACUACAUGAAGGUGGAAUCGCUAGUAAUCGUAGAUCAGCUAUGCUACGGUGAAUGUGUUCCUGAGCCUUGUACACACCGCCCGUCAAGUCAUGGAAGCUGGUAGCGCCCGAAGUCGCCACAUU
rnacentral:rRNA from 1 species